UCAUAUGCUUGUCUCAAAAAUUAACCCUUGCAUGUCUAAUUAUAAACAAAUUUAUACUGUGAAACUGCAAAUGGCUCAUUAAAUCAUUUAUAUUUUAUUUGAUGUUCUCUUGCUACAUGGAUAACUGUGGUAAUUCUAAAGCUAAUACAUGCAAUUAACCCCCGACUUCUGGGAGGGGUGUAUUUAUUAAAUAAAAAACCAACGCGGUUCCCCCCUCCUUUGGUGAUUCAUAAUACCUUCUCAAAUCGUAUGGCCUUGUGCCAACAAUGCUUCAUUCAAAUAUCUGCCCUAUCAACUUUCAAUGGUAGGAUAAAGCCCUACCAUGGUUUCAACGGUUAACGGGAAAUAAGGUUUCGAUUCCGGAAAGGGACCCUGAAAAACGGCUACCACAUCCAAGGAAGGCACCAGGCCCGCAAAUUACCCAUUCCCAACACGGGGAGGUAGUGACAAUAAAUAGUGAUAUAGGGCUCUUUUGGUUCUUAUAAUUGCAAUGAGUACAAUUAAAAUCCCUUAACGAGAAACAAUUGAAGGGCAAUUCUG
rnacentral:rRNA from 1 species